GUUUUCAAAAUUGCGGGUUUUUUGCGGGUUCGGCUCAGCCAAAAUCAGCUUGCGGGUAGUUGUGGUUGGGCAAGGGGUAGCUGCGGGGCGGGGCGGGUAAUGAAAUUGCAAAUUUUUGGCAUCUCUAGUAGACAGCUGAAACAGGCGAGGAGAGCAGUGGAGACCUGGAGACAUUAUGAGGAAACAUUGGUCUGGGCAGACACCCAGGUUGAGAGCAUCAUCUUUUCUGGUGAGUUACUUGUAACACGCAUUGCUGCAAGCUCCAAAAGCACAACUCGAAAUGGCCAACCAAAGCAGGGUCUCAACCUGAAGCAGGAGAUUGAGACGCAGAAGAGAAGGAGAGGAUCAGGAUCAUGGAAACAAGAGAGCAGAGGACCAAAAUGAAUCUGGGUGAGGGGUUUAUAUAGACUUGACUUCAGGUAGACUACAUACUUCGUAGGAUAGUGUAAAGAUGUAACGACUGGCACUGUGAUUUGCUCUGUCUAAUGCACAGCAUCUCUCGGCUUACAGGGUUGUGUUGGCCUCAAGAUCGGCAGUCCGACUGAAUAAAGACUAGGACAGAAGGCACGACAGAAGGAAGCACUCCAGGCUUUUUACAGAUAGUUGAAGAUGCAGAAUGGCUCUGCCCCGUGUGCCGCAGCAAGCCACAGCCUGCCAGAGAGAGCACAUCAACAUAGUAGAAAACCAUGGACAUCCGGAGAGAACUAUGCGGCAUGACAAACUCUACGAGCACUGGUGGUUCCUCCCUGCCGUCUCACGGCAGCGGCGCGACGGUGUCGAGAACGGUGGCUUGGUCAGCGUGGAAUCCGGCGAAGCGCUGCGCGCUGAGGGUGGGUGAUAGAUGACCGGUCACUGAACAAUGAAGCGAGUCAGAUCAUUGGGCGCAGUGAUUACCAGCCACGCAUCGCGGCUGGUCCGCGGAAGUUAUUGCUUUGAUGUCGGACUAAGUCACACAAUGUUUUGUCACAUUCUAGAGUGAUGCUGACAAUGGAAUGCAUCGCUAAUUUGCUUCCGAUGCUGCCUUAACGGUGAUAUGAGAUGCGUGAUAAACCGUUUGUUUGUU
rnacentral:lncRNA from 1 species